rnacentral:rRNA from 1 species
GAUAAACGCUGACAGAAUGCUUAACACAUGCAAGUCGAUGAUGGGAGCUAGCUUGCUAGAAGAAGUCAUGGCGGACGGGUGAGUAACGUGUAAAGAACUUACCAUAUAGACUGGGAUAACAGAGGGAAACUUCUGAUAAUACUGGAUAAGUUAGUAGUAGCAUUACUAAGUACUGAAAGGUAGCAAUACGCUAUAUGAGAGCUUUGCAUCCUAUUAGCUAGUUGGUGGGGUAAAAGCCUACCAAGGCGAUGAUAGGUAGCCGGCCUGAGAGGGUGGACAGCCACAAGGGGACUGAGAUACGGCCCUUACUCCUACGGGAGGCAGCAGUGGGGAAUAUUGGACAAUGGAGGCAACUCUGAUCCAGCAAUUCUGUGUGUGUGAAGAAGGUUUUAGGACUGUAAAACAGUUUUAGUAGGGAAGAAAGAAAUGACGGUACCUACAGAAGAAGCGACGGCUAAAUACGUG